CCCCUCGAAUCAUUGCGACAUCAAACAGACUAAACUUCCCUGACAUGCAGAAACUUGCCAAGAAUGAUUUUAUCGGCAGGGUCGUAGUAGUUGGCUAUCCCAACCAUUCUGAACGUACCGAGAUCCUCAAGAAACUAUUCCAUAUCGAUUCAAACCGUAAAGAGCUUCCUGCUGGUACGUAUGAAGUUGUAGCAAACGCUACUGAGGGUUUUUUGCCAACUGACUUUUGUUUUUUGUAUCAUAAUAUAAAUAUGAUAGCGGUGAAGGAAAUGAUGAGCGCAAAUCGCUUUGUUCAGGUAUCUAACAAAAGUUGGUUAUCUUGCAAUGCUUGUGAAAAAUGCACCGAGGACGGGUUGGAAUGUAUUUCUUGUAGAGCUGUCAAGAAAACUCGAAGUGAAAUAGAGGAGUUGUUCGGGUCGGAUUGCUCCUUUUCUUAUGCACCCGCACGCGUGGUUGAACCAGGAGAGUUCCUCGCAGAGAUAGAGCAAUAUACUUUGCAUAAACCAGAAAUUGAAACAAUUGUGUCUAGCUUUAGCCAAGCGUGAAUUUUGUUUCCAGUGACCACCUUUUGAUUGUAAACAGCAUAACUCGCAUAACUAAUAGAACUCUGAUUUGAAAAAAAA
rnacentral:rRNA from 1 species